ensembl:lncRNA
CUUUAUGUUUCGCUAUAUAUCAUUGCACAGAACAGUUAUGCAUCAUAACAAUCAAUCUACUGUUUUUAUUUUAUUAUAGAAUCAUAUACAGUUUUUUUUCAUAUACAUAUACAUUUCUAUUAAUAUUAUUUUGUUCUAAGAGGCAAAUGGAGGUUCUCCCAUGUACAAUACUGAUACUCUUUUCCAUAAGCAAUUAUCUAAUCUCACAUGCUCCGGCUAUUUGGAUACAGGCAGUGAUAAACUGGCUAUUGAAUUUGCACAGUGUAGUAUUAAAGAAAGAAGAACAGGGCAGUUCUACAUGAAACACAUCGUAUCCAUCUUAUGUUUCAGCUGUAGAUUCAAGAAAGUAACACAGAUGAAGCCUGUUUAAUAAGAGCUGAAUGAACAAGUGAUCAAACAGGUUUGCCCUUGUGUUUGCUGAUCAUCUGUCAGGUGAUCGCUGUCAACUGCGUCUCAGGAUCUGCUCCGGUCGUAGUUUAUUAGCAAAAUGGAACAAAUGGAGGAAAAUUAAAGCUUGAAAAGGUCUGUACAUGGCAGAAAGCCAUGAUUUUCUUUCCCGUUUUGGGUCUGUCCUUCAGAGAAAUUCUACUGUCAUUCUCAGAGGAACUGGAAUAUAGUAUUUUGGGCAUAUCUGUUGUCCUUUUGCUUAUAGCACUCUGCCUUUUGAUAUGGCAGAUUUACCACUACUGUACACGGUUUCCUGUUUCACAAAGACCUGCAGAUAGCCUGUCAGCAAGGAGCGAAGGUUUUCAGUAUGCUACACAAACAAACGAUGCUAAGAUGGAGGUUCAUUAUGAGGAACUGAGCCACCGACUGUCCCCUGGCACCUCUUGCACUAACCUGGGCAGUAGUUUAGAUCUAGCUAGCAUGGCAGAUCUGGAAGAGGAGAACAUCCAGGGAUCUCUGCGCUUUUCACUGUUCUACGAUCAGCAGCAGUCCAAACUGGUGGUGACGGUACUGGACGCCCAGGAUCUAGCCGUGCGAGACUUCAGUCAUAACGUGGACCCGUUUGUUUGGGUGCGGUUGCUGUGGGCAGAAAGAGAGGAUGAGGAGCAGAGUUCAAUGCAGUGUGUUCUGGACGAAUGGCAGACACGUCUAGUGAAGAAGAGCUGCAGUCCUGUGUUUGGAGAUCAGUUCUCUUGCACCCUGGCUGAGGAGGAAGUACCAAGAGUCACUGUUAUCUUUUAG